UACGGGGGGGGCAAGCGUUGUUCGGAAUUACUGGGCGUAAAGCGUGCGCAGGCGGUUUGCUAAGACAGGUGUGAAAUCCCCGGGCUUAACCUGGGAACUGCGCUUGUAACUGGCAAGCUGGAGUGUGGCAGAGGGGGGUGGAAUUCCACGUGUAGCAGUGAAAUGCGUAGAGAUGUGGAGGAACACCGAUGGCGAAGGCAGCCCCCUGGGCUAACACUGACGCUCAGGCACGAAAGCGUGGGGAGCAAACAGG
rnacentral:rRNA from 1 species